GCCGGGGGCGGUGGUGCGCGCCUGUAGUCCUAGCUACUCGGGAGGCUGAGGCAGGAGGAUCCCUUGAGUCCAGGAGUUCUGGGCUGCAGUGCGCUAUGCCGAUCGGGUGUCCGCACUAAGUUCGGCAUCAAUAUGGUGAGCUCCCGGGAGCGGGGGACCACCAGGUUGCCUAAGGAGGGGUGAACCGGCCCAGGUCGGAAAGUGAUUUCAUAUUAAAAGCCUGAUCCAAUUCAGACUGAGAUGAAAGUAAGGUCUGGCCUUA
rnacentral:sRNA from 1 species